rnacentral:rRNA from 1 species
GACGAACGCUGGCGGCGUGCCUAAUACAUGCAAGUUGAGCGCUGAUGGCUGGUUCUUGUACCGACUGGAUGAGCAGCGAACGGGAGAGUCACGCGUGGUCGGUCUGCCUUUGAGCGGGGUACAAUAUUUGGAAAUGAGUGCUAAUACCGCAUAAAAUCUUUCAAUACAAGUUUUACGCUUGAAAGUUGCUAUUUGAUCACUCAAAGAUGAUCCCGCGUUGUCUUAGCUAGUUGGUGAGGUAAAGGCUAAACAAGGCGAGGAUACAUAGCCGACCAGAGAGGGUGAGCGGACUCGUUGGGACGGGGACACGGCCAACACCCCUGCGAGAGGCAGCAGUAGGGAAUCUUCGGCAGAGGAAGCAAGGCUGACCGAGCAACGACGCGUGAGAGAAGGACGUUGUCGUGUCGUAAAACUCAGGUAGUAGAGAAGAACGUUGAUGUGUGUGGAAAGCUCAGCAAGUGACGGUAACUACCGAGAAAGCGACGGCUAACUACGUG